rnacentral:rRNA from 1 species
GUCUACGGCCAUGCUACCCAGAACAAGCUCGAUCCUGUCCGAUCUCGAAGUUAAGCAGGAUCAUGCCUGAUUAGUACUUGGAUGGGAGACUACCAAGGAGGACCUGUUCUGUAGACA